GCAGCAGGGCCAGAACCUGUCGGUGGGGGCCCCACGGCGCAUGAUGCCCCCCGGCUCCCAGCAGAGAGAGCCCUCCCAGAUGGAGAUGAAGGGCUUCCAGUACGCCGACAAGCCCAGCCACUCCCCGGGCCUGCCUGGAGGGUCCUACAGGCCGGGGUCUGCCAGCCCCAGUGGGAAGCCGUCGGGCCCCGGGGGCCAGCUGCCUCCACACUACACCCAACAGGUAAAGCGCACUACAACACACUGUUCCUCCGUGGGCCCACUCUCCAGAGAUAAACGUCUGUAGCCUGACGUCGCUAGAUCAUUUCACAAAUGCAUAAUAUAGUCCGGGUCCUCUUGCUGGUAUUAUUUAUUUAUUUUCAAGCCGCGUUGUCAAUGGGUGCAGGCGCAAACGCCUCUGGACGCAGUAGGACAGACCGACAGCCAAUCAGAGCGGCGGAACCACGCGUCGGCAGAAGCCAGCUUAAUGGUUUCUUGACCGUGCCUGCAUGGCGCUCCCCUAGGGCGCUACUCUGUGCAGUCACACCCGCCACACACACACCUGCUGGAGGAACUGGUGACACCAGGUCUGCUGGAAGUCUGUCCGUCUGUCUGUCUGGAGGCGGCGCCAGACACCUACGCCAGAGCUCAUAAAGGUCGAGCUGGUAGUCUGACCACGCCCUGUUCAACAACCCUCCUCCCCGUCCCCAUCUAAUCCUUCUGCCC
ensembl:lncRNA